rnacentral:rRNA from 1 species
UACGGGGGGGGGCAAGCGUUGUUCGGAAUUACUGGGCGUAAAGGGCGCGUAGGCGGCCUACUAAGUCGGACGUGAAAUCCCUCGGCUCAACCGGGGAACUGCACUCGAAACUGCCAGUCUUGAGUAAUGGAGAGGAUCGCGGAAUUCCUGGUGUAGAGGUGAAAUUCGUAGAUAUCAGGAGGAACACCGGUGGCGAAGGCGGCGAUCUGGACAUUUACUGACGCUGAGACGCGAAAGCGUGGGGAGCAAACAGGG